GGCACCAAGGAGAGGCCAAGCAGCCCCGCUGCCGCCGCCGCCUGUCAGCGGUGGGCCGGCUCCCUCCGGGCCGGAGUGGCUCCCGUACCCGGGCGGGAGCGGCCUGGAGGUUGGCGGGGCGGUCAGAGGUGCUGGCGGCUGGGUGCCCCGGGCUGAGCCGUUCCCCGCGCACCUUCCCCGAGCCUUAGGAGGGCCCGAGAUGGAGAAUCAUAGAACGGUUUGGGCUGGAAGAGUGAAUGGUUUGGGUUUAGAAGUCAUCUAGUCCAGUGCACCCGCAGGGAGACCUCUUCAACUAGACCAGGUUGCUCAGAGGAGGCGGGGAGUCACUCCUCAGGGAGUCCCAUCCUAACAGAGAGGCUCCAGAUGAAUGCUAAGCAAAGAGACAUGAACCAGGCACUUAAAUCCACACCGAAGGACCCAGAUCAAAGUCAGUAGGAGUUGUGGAUGCUGUGGAUCUGUAAAAAAGGAAACUGGAUAAAUGAUCUGAAUUUACAGAGCAAGCUGGAGCACUCCUGUGAAAAAGCAAGUUCCCAAACUUCGAGGAGUCUCUUGGUUACCUGUAGAAGUGAGCAUUAUGAAAUCAGCCACAACAUAUCUUUGACACCUGCAGCACAUCUUUUCAGCAGUGUCACAUUCAGUCACAUUCCCUUGUGCUUGCUGCCUUCUCCAGAAAUGUGAGUGUUUCUAGCAAGAAUCUUACACCUCUCAGGAGUAUAUAAAUCAAUCUUCUAUUACAUGAUAAUAAAGCUAUGAUAGAUUUUAUUAUAAUAUAGAUUACAACACAGAUAUAAAUACUAUAAUGAUAUACUUAUCCUCAUUAUGUAUAAGUACAAGAGAAACUAAUAAUUUAAAGUUAUAACUAAUAAUGGUUCACAAUUCUCUAGAGGUUUCUCCUUACUGAUGUUAAAAUGGUUUGCUGAAGAUUAUUUCAUUCUCAAAAUAAUCCUGAUUUUGCAACUCAGAGAGAGGCUGGUAACUUAAGCAAGGUCAGUGGGAAAGUUUGCUGUAGCAGAUGGAAAUCUUGACUCCAUGGCAGACACUUUAGCCAUGCCAUCAUAUCUUCACCUCACAUUGCCUAUUGAUACUUACACAAUGGUGCAGUUUCAUGAGGAGUAUAAACAGCUCUGCUGUGGGUCUGGGGUUGAAGUGGCAAGAAAGACAUUGGGAAGAGUGAGUCCAGGGAUCUCUGACAGCAGAGUCGCUGUCAGCCUCUGCAUUGGGUGGCUUUCCUCCUCCUGUUUGCUGUUUUCUGAGAGGAGUCUGUUUGCUCACC